UACGUAGGUGGCAAGCGUUGUCCGGAUUUACUGGGCGUAAAGAGCGCGCAGGCGGUCGGAUCAGUCGAAUGUGAAAGCCCCCGGCUCAACUGGGGAGGGUCAUUCGAUACUGUUCGACUCGAAGGCAGGAGAGGGAAGUGGAAUUCCGGGUGUAGUGGUGAAAUGCGUAGAUAUCCGGAGGAACACCAGUGGCGAAGGCGGCUUUCUGGCCUAUUCUUGACGCUGAGGCGCGGAAAGCUAGGGGAGCGAACGGG
rnacentral:rRNA from 1 species